GGACUGUAGCUCAGUGGCACAGCACUUGCCUAGCAUGUAUGAGGCACUGGGUUCAAUUCUCAGCACCA
rnacentral:tRNA from 1 species